AUAUUUUCAUGGUUUCCUGGUUCGGCAGGUUUAAGGACAAAGCGAAGAUGAUAUUAUUUUUGUUUCCUCUCUUUUACCAUGGUUUAUUUGCAGUGAAACACUCGUUGAUGCACUCUGUCACUGGAUCCUCUGGAGACCCAAACAUCUCAGAGUUUACAGGUGUUGUAUUGGUUGAUGGCACUGAGGCCGUUUACUGUGACAGCAGGAACAAGAUAUUAGAACCCAGACAGGAGUGGAUGAAAAAAAUAUUCAGUAAUGACUCUCAGCACUUGGCAUCGUACAUGCAACAGUGUUUUGAAGAUCAGCCAGACAUCUUCAGAUUCUUGAUUUCUACUUUAAUGCAGCUGUUCAAUCAAAUAGAAGGUGUUCACAUAUUACAGAGAACAGGUGGAUGUGAAUGGAAUGAAAACACUGAUGAAGUGGUUGGUAUGGUACAGUAUGGGUAUCAUGGAGAAGGCUUUCUUGAACUGGAUCUUAAGACGCUGACAUGGAUCCCACUGAAACCAGAAGCUGCCAUUAUCAAACAGGAAUGGGAUACUGACAGAGAUGUAAUAAAAGAAAUUGAAAGCCUCCUCACUAAGUUUUGCCCAGAGUGGCUGAAGAGGUAUUUGAACUAUGGGAGCAGCUUCCUGCAGAGAACAGUUCUUCCUUCAGUGUCUCUCCUCCAGAAGACUCCCUCCUCUCCAGUCAACUGCCACGCUACAGGUUUCUAUCCUGACAGAGUCAUGAUGUUCUGGAGGAAAGAUGGAGAGGAGACUCAUGAAGGUGUUGACCACAGAGAAAUCCUCCCCAACAAUGAUGAGACCUUCCAGAUAACUGUUAAUCUGAACGUUUCAUCAGUCAGACCAGAAGACUGGAAAAAAUACGACUGUGUGUUUCAUCUCUCUGGUGUUGAGAACAACAUCGUAACCAAAUUGGAUAAAACAGUGAUCAGAACUAAUUGGCAUGAAAACAACAGGAUGGAACUCCUCUCCAUCAUUGUUGUUGUUGUUCCUGUUCUCAUCGCCGUUGCUGCUGUUGGAUUUGUUGUUUACAAAAAGAAGAAAGAAAAAGAAAUUGCACCUUCUCCUGUUAACAUCUAUGAACUUUCUGAGACACUGAAUUGAGAUUGGAAACAAAGCCCACACAGCGCCAUAUGGAAAGCUAUGCACACCUGCAGUUAAACACAUUAAAAGCAAAGAUGUCACAGACUUUGAUCUUGGACCCAGGAUUUUGAUGGUUUGUUUGAUUUUGGAUUUUUUUCCUUGUUUUCUAUUUGGUGGGUUUGGUUGGAGUUUAUGGAGUUUUGUUCCUUGUGACUUUUUAAACUUAGUUAACCAGUGUUGUUCCUUCUGUGUUGUUCAUUAUUACAACCUUAUCUGUGUGCAUUCGUAUAUUGUUAAGUCUCUCCUUUAGUUUUGUAUUCGUGGUUAUCUUUUCGUAUUGUAUGAUUUUCUUUGUCAUCUCUGUUCUUAGUUCAUUUAUGUUCAUUUGUAUUGAGGUUUUUAGUUCUUAUACUCGGGUUUGUCUUGUUAUCUUUCUGGUAAUUCUGAACAUUUGUGGUUAAAUUUUUUUAGUUCUGGUUGUUUAGCUCUGAUGGGGUGGAUGUUUAGACACCUUAAUGUUCAAAGGCCUCUCCUGCCUUUGUAUUGUCUUCAGUUCAACACACUCCUUAAGACAAGAAGAUCAUUGAUCAUUUUAUUUUAUUAUUAACAAAUUGUUUUUGAACAAUCAGUGAUUACAGCAUGUGAUCCCAGCUGCCUUAAUACGUUUUUUGUUGUCUUAAUAAACCAA